GCCCCGGCUUUGCCCUUCAUGGUUCCCAGCCCUGGCCUCUGUGGUCUCAGCUUUCCUUCUCCCCUCCCCCAAUCCACGCAGGGCCGCGUUGGGAUGGAGGCGGGGUGGGGUCAGCGGCGGCCUCGGGCGUCCGUGACCCCGGCUCGGGAGGGGGAGUGACCUUUCCUGCAGCGGCCCGGCCGCCGGCCCAGUGAAUGAAUUCGUUUGGCUUUCCCCAAAUCCGAGGAGCUCAUUUGCAUAGGAGGCGGCCUCGCCUGAGCCCCCACUCCCCCGCUGGGCCCCUGGCUCGUUUGAGCUCCAGAAGCUGAUGUGAUUAAGUUGGGGUGGGGGUGGGGGGCGGGGGCCGUUUGAUUAGCCGGACUCUGACAAGGCUUAUUUGAUUGUGUCAGGCCGGGGUUUCUGGAGGAAUUGCCUCCGUCUCCGCAUUGAACCACAACUUGACACGUCUGGGAACUUGGGAUUUCCGGCCUGGGAGGCUGAAGGAAUUAAUUUUAAUUGGCUAAAAGUAAAGAUCGAGGAACUUCCCGGGCCUGCCGCGGAGUCCGUUAGCUCAUCCGACCGGACCUUUUUGGCCACGGCGGCGUCCGGUUCCUGCGCCACCUACUGAACCCGGGGCCGCCCCGGCCGGCCGCUCGAGUCAGCGGGAGUUUGCGUGUGCCCCUCUGGGCCUCACGGAGCGAAUAUUCUGGUGGAAGAGACAACACAUAUAAGAUUUCUGCUGCAAGUCAGAUGAAAAGGCUCCGUGGUCCUAAGGGUGCAGCUGCAAAGCAGAUGGAGGUGGAUGGCCUGUUUCGAGUCCUCCGGAGUCAAGAGUGGGCUUUGUGAUGAUCAGAACAUUCUGUAUGUGAAUUUCAAGCUGGUGCUUCCAAUGUCAAGCUGAAUGCCAGGGGAUCGAAUGUGUUGGUAUUGUCGUAAGAUGGCUGACUAGCUUCAGAGCAGUUUUUUUUCCUUUUGAACCCAAGAGACUUCAAGCCCCAGCUGAGAUGUCAGGACACCCUGUCAUCCAACUGUACCAUGGAAGGAAGCUGGGCACCCAGUGCUGUGGCUGAGAAUCCUCCUUUCAGGUGAGAGUUGUGGAUGACCUGGACAGUCUACCAUGCCAUGCCGGAAAACUGAAUCGCUUCCAUUUGAAUUGUCUUAGGAAGAUUCUGAAGAUCAACUGGCAGGAUAAGGUGCCAGACACUGAGGUCCUUUCUCAAACUGAACUGCCUAGCAUUCAAACUCUACUGCAGAGAAUGCAAUUCUGAUGGGCUGGCUACGCUGUUUCAAUGUCAAACGUACGCUUGCCAGAAAAGACAGUUGUGGAGAACUCCAUGUGUUACGUGAGAGUCAAUGGCACAAGGCCAUCCAGCAUGGUGUGCCUUCAUCAGAGAAGGUGCUAUGCUCUAUGAGCAAAGCAGAAUUGAAGCAACUCAAAAGAAAUGCGACAUGCACAUUUGGAGGAUCCGCUCCAAAUGUUCCCAUGGACUACUUGUGCUCUUCCUGUGGUGGAGCAUUCUGAGUUUAUAUUGGUCUGAUCAGCCAUAGUUGCACAUACUGUAACUUGACUCUAACAUAAUGAUGUCAUUUGGGUGCUCUUUGAGAACUAAGGAUGACAACCAGCCAUUUCUGUGACCCUAAGCAAGUCAUUCAGCUUCUCUGGGGCUCUGUCUACUCAUCUAAAGGUGGUUGGACUCAGUCAUCUUUAAGUUCCCGUCCCAAGGACAGCUUGAGACAACGAAUGACUGAGGGGCUCUGCACCAGUGCUCAGCUGGACUCCUGAUACUUCCAUUGACAGAGGCAUUAUCAACAAAGACAUUGAUUUAGAGUGAAUUAAGUAAGCAAUUUCCAUUUUCAAGCCUCCCAUUCCAUUUUAGAAGCAGGAGAUAUUAACCAUUCUUCCCGUAGAUGAAAUCUGAUUGUCCUCCGCAAGGCACAGGGACUACUCGAAGGAGCCCAGAAGUUAGAAAUUGGAGUUUGGAGUCUCCUUCCCAUUGUUAACUGGUUUGAGCAAGUCACAGUGAAGUGGCUGACUGAUUCGGGGGUAGGGCAAAGAAUUGGGAGGUGGUUGAAUACGGGAGUCCGGGCUUUCCUAUUAAGCUUGGAUAAAGCACAUUCACCGAGAAUAAAAAGACUGACAUUUUAUGGCAUUUUAAAGGCAUCUUAUUUAACAUCAUCUUAUCUCUUUUGGAGCCUUACAGUAACUCCUUGAGGUAGAGAUUAGAGGUAAGAUUCUUGUUCUAGUUUUACAGAUGAGAAAAAGCUGAAGUUCGGAGUCAUAGUCACAGAGGCAGAAUUUGAACCCUGGUCGUUCUGAUCCUGAAUCCAACAUAUCAUCGAUUUGUGAAGAUGCUGGACUAGAUAACUUCCAAGAUCUCUUCCAAUUCCCAGCUUCUAUGGGAUCUAGAAUUAUUUCAGUGCCAAGGCUAUAGCACAAACCGAAACAAUGAAAACCAAACUCUGUAUAAGGAAUCGGGAGUCCUCGCUUCUGCUUCUAGGUCUAUAACUAACUCACUCUGUGAUCUUAGGGAAAUCCUAUUAUGGUUCUGUUUCUCAGUUUCUCAUAUGUAAACAGGAGGAUUUAAAAAUGGAAAACUUGCGAGAUUUGUAGGCUGAGAUUGGGAUUCAGAUACUGGCUCUAGGGUACCUGUGUACUUGGCAGCGGGUCACUUCAUUUUUCUGAGAGUCAGUAUCCUGCUCUAUAAAAUAAAGAGGUUGGAUCAAAUAGUCUCCAAGUUCUUUCUUAGAAUGACAGCUAGGUGGCUCUGCAGGGGAAAAAGUUCAUGUCCUGGAGUCAGGAAUUCAAAUCCAGCCUCAGACACUAACUAGCUGUGU